rnacentral:rRNA from 1 species
UACGAAGGGAGCUAGCGUUGUUCGGAAUCACUGGGCGUAAAGCGCACGUAGGCGGAUGUGUCAGUCAGGGGUGAAAUCCCGGAGCUCAACUUCGGAACUGCCUUUGAUACUGAGGAUCUUGAGUACGGGAGAGGUGAGUGGAACUGCGAGUGUAGAGGUGAAAUUCGUAGAUAUUCGCAAGAACACCAGUGGCGAAGGCGGCUCACUGGCCCGUAACUGACGCUGAGGCACGAAAGCGUGGGGAGCGAACAGG